rnacentral:rRNA from 1 species
CCUACGGGAGGCAGCAGUGAGGAAUAUUGCUCAAUGGACGAGAGUCUGAACCAGCCAAGUAGCGUGAAGGAUGACUGCCCUAUGGGUUGUAAACUUCUUUUAUAUGGGAAUAAAAUGUUCCACGUGUGGGAUUUUGUAUGUACCAUAUGAAUAAGGAUCGGCUAACUCCGUGCCAGCAGCCGCGGUAAUACGGAGGAUCCGAGCUUUAUCCGGAUUUAUUGGGUUUAAAGGGAGCGUAGGUGGAUUGUUAAGUCAGUUGUGAAAGUUUGCGGCUCAACCGUAAAAUUGCAGUUGAAACUGGCAGUCUUGAGUACAGUAGAGGUGGGCGGAAUUCGUGGUGUAGCGGUGAAAUGCUUAGAUAUCACGAAGAACUCCGAUUGCGAAGGCAGUUCACUGGACUGCAACUGACACUGAGGCUCGAAAGUGUGGGUAUCAAACAGGAUUAGAUACCCCAGUAGUC